GAUGCAAAGAAGAUGAGCUCAGGAAGAACAGAUGGAAUUCUCCAGACCUAGCAAGGGAAGGGAGAAUUCCAUAGAAGGUUUAAAAGGAGGGGCAGUUAGCCAGAACUGUGGUCUGGUCUGUUUACUUCACCAUUUGACUUCUCUUUUUUUCUGGCCAACCCCUCUGAAGGAGCAAGGCUGAAGAAGUACUUGGCUUUUACCCUCCUUUACCUGGCUGAACUGAAAAGAGUCUUGCCCAGUGCAGAUUCCAGAUGGUAUAUAUCUGUUUUUCCCUCAGACAAUAUGCACCCUUGAGCAAAGCAAAUUACCUGUUGGUAUUAUUUGGGAAAGAAUUUUAAAUAUUUGGUCAAUUCCCAGAAAGAGACACUCUUUGUAAUCAUCUUUAAAAUAAUCCCAAAUGAGAUUGAGAAACUUUUCUAUAUAAAUGGAACUGCAAGUGAUUCUGGAAGGAAGCCAAAGUCAAAUCUAGGAUGUACAUUUUACAACUUGAGGGCAGUUUAUGUAAGAAGAAACCUGGAAGCCAUGUACUGGUGAUGAUUGCUGUUCAUUUCUUGCGGUUUAUGAAGCUUGCUGUUAAUUAUUUAUUUCCUAUCCAGUGAAGCCCAGUAAUGUUCAUGUAAGCUACUUUGUUCAACACUUACAUUGAGAGAGAAAUACCUCACCUGGAAAGAAUAUCUUUGCUGGCAAAGUCAAAUCAGACAUUCUCAACUUUGAAAAUGAAAUAAAACAUGAAGCAAUAGCAAUAA